AUGGCUUCAAGCAAAGGGAAUGUCCGUUUUGACAUCCCCACGUCAAGGGAGGGGCUGCAGGAACGUCCAUCCUUUUCCCAGCUCCCCCCAGGCCCGCAGGAGGAAGCCUCAGCUGGGAGCCAGCCCAACACCUCUGACACCGGCCGCCCUGCCUUUGGGCGAAGAGGGAGCCGGCCUCGGGCGCGGAGGCUUCCGCAGGCGCCGGUGUCCAGCUGGGAUUUGCUCACACGUCCUUGCACUGGUGUUUAUGGCAGCCCUCCGUUGACGGAGCCGAAGCCACGAAGAUGUUCCGUGUGGCGUUAUUUACAGCAGGAGGGGAGAAUCGGAAAUAACACAGGGGUCGGCAAUGACUGGACUGUUAAAAUAACUCCCACCACUUCCUUCAUUGGCGUGAACACUGAGGACUAUCAGGUCCCAAGAGAACCAAGGUUUUUUCCUCUUGUUGAAAGAAGAAUCCCUCAGCCCCGAAAAUAACGGCCAGCAUAUAAAGGUGUUUGGUAUGUAUUCUGGGGAUGAAUGAAUAAAUAAUGCUGUGAAAUUAAUUUCCA
rnacentral:lncRNA from 1 species